GGCCGAGCAAGAGACGCCGUGGUCAGUCGCCAAAGACAAGGCUACCGACAUGGGAGAGGACAGCGCAGAGGCUGCUGCGGCCGCCGCCGCCUCACCGCAACCGCCGCGGCCCCGCUGCGGAGGCGGCAGCCGGCAGGUUCUGCUGGGCUGGGACACCUUCCGGUCGCGCGUGCUGUUGGGUCUGCUGGUGGCCACCGUGAUCUGGGCCGCCGUCUACUUCCCGCUCAUCUCGCUCUCCUGACCUCGCCGCCUGCUCUCUGUACUGGCUCAUGCAUUAGAGCUACACUCUAAGCGCACCACUACCCUAUCUUUUUUCUUUGUACAACUUAACCCUGUAUAAAUAAACUAUAUGCCCUGUU